rnacentral:rRNA from 1 species
CACGUAGAUGGCUUUGUAAGUCGGAUGUGAAAUCCCCGGGCUCAACCUGGGAACUGCAUUCGAAACUGCAUUGCUCGAAUGUGGAAGAGGGAAGCGGAAUUCCAGGUGUAGCGGUGAAAUGCGUAGAUAUCUGGAGGAACAUCAGUGGCGAAGGCGGCUUCCUGGUCCAACAUUGACAUUCAGGUGCGAAAGCGUGGGGAGCAAACAGGAUUAGAUACCCUGGUAGUCCACGUCAUAAACGAUGAGAACUAGAUGUCGGGAGGGUUAGCCUUCCGGUGUCGCAGCUAACGCGUUAAGUUCUCCGCCUGGGGAGUACGGCCGCAAGGUUGAA